AUUUUGCCAAGGAGGAGGGUAAAGCUGAGAGCAGUAGAGCCGGAGGUUGCAUAGCAAAUAAGAGGCAGGGCUAGGAUUCAAACCCAGCUCCUCACUGCUCUGCUCUACUCCCCAGAGAAUGUGCAGCUCAGCAGCCCAGGCCAGCCCAGGGGAAGACCCCAGGGGUGAGGGCAGUUCUCGCUCUCAAUAUCUUUCCCGGAAAUCAGUGCUGUUUAGUGACAGUAAGACGUUGAAAGUACUUGAUGCGGGGCCUGUGACCAAAUGGACAGAAGUCUUGAAGGAUGCAUUCAGUAUGGCUGGCUCUGACCUCUGACCUCCCUGCCGCAGGCCUGGAAGUCCCCCUGAAGAAAAAUCACGUAUGUGUGAGAUGAUCGUCCUUAUGAUGUGUAAUUCCAAUCUCCCCAAAUUCCUGGACUUUGAAGUCAUUUUUUUCUUCUUUCCCAUCAAUAGCCACAGGCAUUCGAGACAGAAGGAGGAGGGAAGAUGGCACAGUUUACUUGGUGUUUGUCAGUGAUAUGUUUUUCACGUCUUGUUUUGAUUAACUGAAAUAAUUUUCACUAUCCCCCAAA
rnacentral:lncRNA from 12 species